GACGGAGGAUGCAAGCGUUAUCCGGAAUGAUUGGGCGUAAAGCGUCCGCAGGUGGCAGUUCAAGUCUGCUGUCAAAGACCGGGGCUUAACUUCGGAAAGGCAGUGGAAACUGAACAGCUAGAGUAUGGUAGGGGCAGAGGGAAUUCCUGGUGUAGAGGUGAAAUUCGUAGAUAUUGGGAAGAACACCGAUGGCGAAGGCAGCCAUCUGGACCGACACUGACGCUGAGGCGCGAAAGCGUGGGGAGCGAACAGG
rnacentral:rRNA from 1 species